GAAGAAGAAACUGAUUAGAAAGGGAAAGAUCAGUAGAAGAAAGAAUAUGAGUCUGAAUAGAAGCAGAGAAACAAGAGGUAGUGACAUCACUAAGAAAGAUAGUAUUGCAGAAAUAAUCCUUAAGGUGGGCUGGGAGGAUGCCUUUGGUGGUUCGGGUAGAUCUCCUAGGACUAGGAUUGAUGAGAGUGUUUGGAGGUUGUGAUGAUGAAAUAGAGGCAGGGUCAGCAAUGGGAACAGGAAAAUGAGUUGGUAAAGAUGUAGAAAUCGGUGGAUCCAAUAAACAAUCAUCAGAAGAAGAAGCUAAGUAUGGAAUAGGAAAAGUAUAAGGAGAAAUAGGAGCAAUACUUGUAACAAAAGGAAAUAUUUCCUCAUGAAACUGGACAUCUC
rnacentral:lncRNA from 1 species